rnacentral:pre_miRNA from 7 species
CUCUGGGCUAUGGGAUGCUGAUAGUGUAGGACCCCCUUUCGGGGACCCCCACUCUAGUCUCGGGAGUGUGAGAGCACCCAAAGAAACACGAGGACCC